UUGUAAAACGRCGGCCAGUACCCGCUGAAUUUAAGCAUAUUAAUAAGCGGAGGAAAAGAAACUAACAAGGAUUCCCCCAGUAACGGCGAGUGAAGUGGGAACAGCUCAAGCUUGAAAUCUCUGUUGCUUGCAACAGCGAAUUGUAGUCUCGAGAAGCGUUUUCCAGACGGACCUUCCCUGCCUAAGUUGCUUGGAACAGCACAUCAGAGAGGGUGACAAUCCCGUUCGUGGCAGGGCGGGCCGUUCACGAUACGCUUUCCAUGAGUCGGGUUGCUUGGGAAUGCAGCCCAAAAUUGGUGGUAAACUCCAUCUAAAGCUAAAUAUUGGCACGAGACCGAUAGCGAACAARUACCGKGAGGGAAAGAUGAAAAGAACUUUGAAGAGAGAGUUCAGUCAUAGCUGUUUC
rnacentral:rRNA from 1 species